rnacentral:rRNA from 1 species
UACAGAGGUCCCAAGCGUUGUUCGGAUUCACUGGGCGUAAAGGGUGCGUAGGUGGCGGGGUAAGUUUGAUGUGAAAUCUCCGGGCUUAACCCGGAAACUGCAUUGAAUACUAUUCUGCUCGAGGGUUGGAAGGGAGACUGGAAUACUUGGUGUAGCAGUGAAAUGCGUAGAUAUCAAGUAGAACACCAGUGGCGAAGGCGGGUCUCUGGACAGUUCCUGACGCUGAGGCACGAAGGCCAGGGGAGCAAACGGG